GACGAACGCUGGCGGCGUGCUUAACACAUGCAAGUCGAACGGAAAGGCCCUGCUUUUGUGGGGUGCUCGAGUUGCGAACGGGUGAGUAACACGUGAGUAACCUGCCCUUGACUUUGGGAUAACUUCAGGACACUGGGGCUAAUACCGGAUAGGAGCUCCUGCUGCAUGGUGGGGGUUGGAAAGUUUCGGCGGUUGGGGAUGGACUCGCGUCUUAUCAGCUUGUUGGUUGGGUAGUGGAUUACCAAGGCUUUGACGGGUAGCCGGGCUGAGAGGGUGACCGGCCACAUUGGGACGGAGAUGCGGCCCAGACUCCUACGGGACGCAGCAGUGGGGAAGAGUGCACAAUGGGCGGAAGCCUGAUGCAGCAACGCCGCGUGCGGGAUGACGGCAUUCGGGUUGUAAACCGCUUUCGCCUGUGACGAAGCGUGAGUGACGGUAAUGGGUAAAGAAGCACCGGCUAACUACGUG
rnacentral:rRNA from 1 species